rnacentral:rRNA from 1 species
CUGGCGGCAUGCCUUACACAUGCAAGUCGAACGCGAAAGCGGGGCAACCCGCAAGUAGAGUGGCGAACGGGUGAGUAAUACAUCGGAACAUUUCCAGUAGCGGGGGAUAACCUGUCGAAAGAUAGGCUAAUACCGCAUACGACCUAAGGGUGAAAGCGGAGGACCGCAAGGCUUCGCACUAUUGGAGUGGCCGAUGUCGGAUUAGCUAGUUGGCGGGGUAAAAGCCCACCAAGGCGACGAUCCGUAGCUGGUCUGAGAGGACGAUCAGCCACACUGGAACUGAGACACGGUCCAGACUCCUACGGGAGGCAGCAGUGGGGAAUUUUGGACAAUGGGCGCAAGCCUGAUCCAGCCAUGCCGCGUGAGUGAAGAAGGCCUUCGGGUUGUAAAGCUCUUUCGGUGGGGACGAAACGGUUCGUGCUAAUACCACGGACUAAUGACGGUACCCGAAGAAGAAGCACCGGCUAACUACGUGCCAGCAGCCGCGGUAAUACGUAGGGUGCAGGCGUUAAUCGGAAUUACUGGGCGUAAAGCGUGCGCAGGCGGUUUGUUAAGACAGAUGUGAAAUCCCCGGGCUUAACCUGGGAACUGCGUUUGUAACUGGCAAGCUAGAGUGUGGCAGAGGGGGGUGGAAUUCCAAGUGUAGCAGUGAAAUGCGUAGAUAUUUGGAGGAACACCAAUGGCGAAGGCAGCCCCCUGGGUUAACACUGACGCUCAUGCACGAAAGCG